GAUGAACGCUAGCGGCAGGCUUAACACAUGCAAGUCGAGGGGCAGCACGGAAGUGGUAACACUUUUGGUGGCGACCGGCGGACGGGUGCGUAACGCGUAUGCAACCUACCGACGACUUGGGGAUAACGGAUGGAAACGUCCACUAAUACCUGAUAAUAUCAUUGGAGGCCACUCCGGUGGUUGAAAGAAUUUUGGUUGUUGAUGGGAAUGGGUAACAUUAGUUAGUUGGUGGGGUAACGGCUCACCAAGGCUACGAUGUUUAGGGGGACUGAGAGGUUAACCCCCCAGACUGGAACUGAGACACGGUCCAGACUCCUACGGGAGGCAGCAGUGAGGAAUAUUGGUCAAUGGGCGAAAGCCUGAACCAGCCAUGCCGCGUGCAGGAAGACGGCUCUAUGAGUUGUAAACUGCUUUUAUACGAGGGUAAUUGCGCGCACGUGUGCGUGUUUGAAAGUAUCGUAUGAAUAAGGAUCGGCUAACUCCGUGCCAGCCGCCGCGGUAA
rnacentral:rRNA from 1 species